rnacentral:rRNA from 1 species
GACGAACGCUGGCGGCGCGCUUAACACAUGCAAGUCGAACGGAGAGGCCUGCUUUCCCUUGUGGAUUGCGGGUACUCGAGUGGCGAACGGGUGAGUAACACGUGAGUGAUCUGCCCCCAACUUGGGUAUAAGCCUGGGAAACUGGGUCUAAUUCCCGAUAGGACUGCAGGGUGGUGCCUGUGGUGGAAAACGAUUUUCUAGUGGUUGGGGAUGAGCUCGCGGCCUAUCAGCUUGUUGGUGGGGUAAUGGCCUACCAAGGCGGCGACGGGUAGCCGGCCUGAGAGGGUGGACGGCCACAUUGGGACUGAGAUACGGCCCAGACUCCUACGGGAGGCAGCAGUGGGGAAUAUUGCACAAUGGGCGGAAGCCUGAUGCAGCGACGCCGCGUGGGGGAUGACGGCCUUCGGGUUGUAAACUCCUUUCGACCGCGAGGAAGCCACCUGGUUGGAAGGGUGGUGACGGUAGUGGUAGAAGAAGCACCGGCUAACUACGUG